GUCCCUUCGUAGGCCCAAGGGCAGCCCUUCAGUAGGACCCUAUACCCUUCCAACUCACUCAUUCUUCACUCUUCUGUUUUCCAGAGCUGCCCUCUUCCUCAAACCCUCUAUCCUUCAGCAAGGCUCUGCUAGGGCACAGUCCUCUUCCAUCUUGAGGUAGCAAAGAUCGACCCUAUACUUCCUGCUCACUGCUCUAGCCCUUGGAGCUGAAAUACUUCUUAGUUGCGGGUCUAUUUCGUUUUAGCAUCUAAGCGAGAUGAGAGGGAGGUUCGUGAUGGAUCCGGGAGACGCAGCGGUGCGGCCUAGACUUCCCUGUCUGGAUGUCUUAGGAAUAGUUUCAGGGCCAUGAGGCCUUUUGUAUUAGUUGCCUUAGUGGCAACCUUUUUGCAAAACUGUUGCACCCCUUUUUAAAUUUCCUUUUGCUUAGGACUAUGUGGUAUGCCUAAGUUUCUUUUAAGUGACUCUGGAUGACUGUAAUAGUUACCCUUCUUACGUUUCAUGUUUAUUCGA